GUCAGCACCCCCGACUAUAAGUCGGGGGCUUCAGGCGACUACCGCCGAAGCCCUAGCUGACCAGAACUAAGUACCUUGAGUACUACGUUAGAGGCAAGAGUUAAAGACCCACUUCAGGAUGCUUGCUAGUCCUGAACUCUGGAACCGAAUAAUUAAACAGGUUGAAGGGUUAAGCCAGUGUUAUUUGGAUAGUUACCGACCUCUAACAUUGUCGUUCGCGAAGCGUCUCCCCUUGGGAGAAGCAAACAUUAC
rfam:Scytonema millei VB511283 scaffold_98, whole genome shotgun sequence.